UGCAGUCGACGGUAGCACAGAGGAGCUUGCUCCUUGGGUGACGAGUGGCGGACGGGUGAGUAAUGUCUGGGAAACUGCCCGAUGGAGGGGGAUAACUACUGGAAUCGGUAGCUAAUACCGCAUAAUGUCGCAAGACCAAAGAGGGGGACCUUCGGGCCUCUUGCCAUCGGAUGUGCCCAGAUGGGAUUAGCUAGUAGGUGGGGUAACGGCUCACCUAGGCGACGAUCCCUAGCUGGUCUGAGAGGAUGACCAGCCACACUGGAACUGAGACACGGUCCAGACUCCUACGGGAGGCAGCAGUGGGGAAUAUUGCACAAUGGGCGCAAGCCUGAUGCAGCCAUGCCGCGUGUAUGAAGAAGGCCUUCGGGUUGUAAAGUACUUUCAGCGAGGAGGAAGGCGUUGUGGUUAAUAACCGCAGCGAUUGACGUUACUCGCAGAAGAAGCACCGGCUAACUCCGUGCCAGCAGCCGCGGUAAUACGGAGGGUGCAAGCGCUAAUCGGAAUUACUGGGCGUAAAGCGCACGCAGGCGGUCUGUCAAGUCGGAUGUGAAAUCCCCGGUCUCAACCUGGGAACUGCAUCCGAAACUGGCAGGCUAGAGUCUUGUAGAGGGGGGUAGAAUUCCAGGUGUAGCGGUGAAAUGCGUAGAGAUCUGGAGGAAUACCGGUGGCGAAGGCGGCCCCCUGGACAAAGACUGACGCUCAGGUGCGAAAGCGUGGGGAGCAAACAGGAUUAGAUACCCUGAUAGUCCACGCCGUAAACGAUGUCGACUUGGAGGUUGUGCCCUUGAGCGUGGCUUCCGGAGCUAACGCGUUAAGUCGACCGCCUGGGGAGUACGGCCGCAAGUUAAACUCAAAUGAAUUUGACGGGGGCCCGCACAGC
rnacentral:rRNA from 1 species